rnacentral:tRNA from 1 species
GCCCCGUUAGCUCAGUUGGUAGAGCAACUCCCUCUUAAGGAGAUGGUCGUAGGUUCGAAUCCUACACGGGGCA